rnacentral:rRNA from 1 species
UGAGUNUNGUAGAGGGGGGUAGAAUUCCAGGUGUAGCGGUGAAAUGCGUAGAGAUNNGGAGGAAUACNGGUGGCGAAGGCGGCCCCNUGGACGAAGACUGACGCUCAGGUGCGAAAGCGUGGGGAGCAAACAGGAUNAGAUACCCUGGUAGUCCACGCCGUAAACGAUGUCGACUUGGAGGUUGUGCCCNUGAGGCGUGGNUUCCGGAGCUAACGCGUUAAGUCGACCGCCUGGGGAGUACGGCCGCAAGGUUAAAACUCAAAUGAAUUGACGGGGGCCCGCACAAGCGGUGGAGCAUGUGGUUUAAUUCGAUGCAACGCGAAGAACCUUACCUGGUCUUGACAUCCACGGAAGUUUUCAGAGAUGAGAAUGUGCCUUCGGGAACCGUGAGACAGGUGCUGCAUGGCUGUCGUCAGCUCGUGUUGUGAAAUGUUGGGUUAAGUCCCGCAACGAGCGCAACCCUUAUCCUUUGUUGCCAGCGGUCCGGCCGGGAACUCAAAGGAGACUGCCAGUGAUAAACUGGAGGAGGGUGGGGAUGACGUCAAGUCAUCAUGGCCCUUACGACCAGGGCUACACACGUGCUACAAUGGCGCAUACAAAGAGAAGCGACCUCGCGAGAGCAAGCGGACCUCAUAAAGUGCGUCGUAGUCCGGAUUGGAGUCUGCAACUCGACUCCAUGAAGUCGGAAUCGCUAGUAAUCGUGGAUCAGAAUGCCACGGUGAAUACGUUCCCGGGCCUUGUACACACCGCCCGUCACACCAUGGGAGUGGGUUGCAAAAGAAGUAGGUAGCUUAACCUUCGGGAGGGCGCUUACCACUUUGUGAUUCAUGACUGGGGUGAAGUCGUAACAAGGUAACAAUCACUAGUGAAUUCGCGGCCGCCUGCAGGUCGACCAUAUGGGAGAGCUCCNNA